UGCGGAAUAGAGCAGUUGGUAGCUCGUCAGUUUCAUGUGCUGAAGGCCGUAGGUUCGAGUCCUACUUCCGCUACUAA
rnacentral:tRNA from 1 species